UCCAAAAGGGUUGUGUUCUUCAAAGUGGUAGAGUCAAUGCCACCUUCUCCAGGAAGCCUUCCAGCCAUGCUUCUUGCCCUCCAGUGGGCUCUCCAGUCCCAGUGCCUUCCUCCAUCUGGUCCUGACCACUUGCACUCCAGAGGCCUUUGUCCAGCUCUGUCCCAUGUGUGGAGGAAUCUGAGGUGGGGUUGCCGCAGGGGAGUCCUCCUUAGGGCUCCAGCAUUGCCCCAGCACCCGAGAGAGCUUAUUACAUAUGUAACAAGUGAUUGUUAACCUACAACAACAGUGUUCAGGGCUCUGCUUAUUUUAGAUGGCAGGACAGAGCACUUCAGGAAUGCCAGAGAUGGAUCGCAAGCCAGCUGGCAACUGCCCCUCAUGGCUGGGGUGUUGUCAGGCUGCAGGGGGGCACCUGUGAAUGGGGCUGGGGCACUCAGAUUCUUUCCCACCUCACUAUACUAUCCUUACUUCCCUCUGUGUGGGACAAGGGAUUUCUCCUCUCUGGGCCUCAGUUUUCCCAUCUGUAAAAUGGAAAGAAGAAUAGUGUUCAUCUCUACAGUUUGGAGAUGAUUAAAAGGGCUAGUACAUGCACCAAUUAUAGAAGAACUUCUGGAACACAGCAAGUGCCGGCCAGAUGUCAAUUAUGAGUUGUAGAGUAUGUGUCCCUUCCAUGGGCUUCUCCAAUUCUGAUAGCUCACCAGUAAGUUCCCAGUGACCUUCGUGUCCUAACUGUCCUUGUCCUUCUUUUAUUGUCUUAGACUUUUUACCUCAGAAUAUUCCAAUUCCUAUGGAAAAGUGUAUAUGUAUAUAUAUAUAUAUUUUUUUUUUGGCCUCACUCAUGGCAUGUGGAAUUUCCUGGGCCAGGGAUUGAACCCACACCACAGCAGUAACCAAAGUCAGAGCAGUGACAAAGCCAGAUCCUUAACUUGCUGAGCCACAAGAGAAUUCCUGGGAAUGACAUUUUCUUGUCACAUCUCUUGAAGUCUUCUUUUCUUUUUUCUUUUUUUUUCAGGGCCACAUCUGCAACAUAUGGAAGUUUCCAGGCUAGGGCUCGAAUUAUGGUGCAGCUGCUAGCCUCCGCCACAACCACAGCCACAGCAAUGCCAGAUGCAAGUCACAUCUGCAACCUACACUGCAUCUUGCAGCAAUACCCAAUCCUUAACCCACUGAUCGAGGCCAGGGAUUGAACCCUCUUCCCCAUGGAUACUAGUUGGGUUCUUAACCCUCUGAGCCACAAUGGGAACUCCUCGAAGUCUUAUUUUUAAUCUAGAGCAUCUCUCUGUCUUUUUAUUUGCUUCACGAUGGUCAUUCUCCAAGGGCUGGCUGUCUUGUAGAAUCUCCCACAGUCUGAUGUUUUCUCAUGAUGAGAGUCAGGUUGCCCAUUCCAAGCAGUGAGAUUUCAGAGGUGAUGCUGAGUCCUCCUCAGUGCAAGGUACCAGGAGGCACAUGAUGUCACCCUGUUGCCUUGCUGUUGAUGAUGGGAAUCUUGAUCACUUGGUUCUGAUGGUAUUGACCAGAUCUCCCUAUUACAGGUGCCGUUUCCCUUUUGUAAUUGAUGAGCAAUCUGGGGGAAAGAUAUUCCAAGACUGUGUGACCACCUAGGAUCUUGUAAACGUUCACCCAGUGGUUUUUGUAUUGGUGGAUACCCCUUGCUUGAAUAAGCUACUACACUAGUAGUUGCAAGAUAAUGAUUUUUCUUUUUUUUUUCUUUUUGGCUAUUGAGGGCCACGGCAUAUCAAGGUUCCCAGGCUAGGGGUCUAAUCGGAGCUGUUUCUGCUGGCCUAUGCCAGAGCCACAGCAAUGCCAGACCCUAGCUGCAUCUGCGACCUACACCACAGCUCAUGGCAAUGCAUGAGCGAGGCCAGGGAUCAAACCUGCAACCUCAUGGUUCCUAGUUGGAUUCGUUUCUGAUGUGCUAAGACAGGAACUCCCCCAAACAGUGAUUUUUCUAAUUCUAUAGAAUCCUAUAUUUGCUACCUGCAUUAUUCUGCAAGGAGGGGCCUUCCCUACUCCAUCCCCUCACCCCUGCUACCUCUCUAGCCUCUCCUCAGCACUCCUUAGAGCUGACCAUUUCCUUUUUACUCAUAUGAUCUCUCCCUUUGACUUCCCUGAUGCCACACCCUUCUUUUCCCACUUCUCAGAUUUCGCAUUUGGAGCUUCUGCUUUCUUCAAAGCCACAGCCCUCAUGCCACCUCUUCCAGGAAGCCUUUCAGCAAUGCCAGGACAGACCUUCUCACCCUCCUCUGCAAAGUCUUGAAACAUGGAUGAUCUCAAAAUUUCAUUCCUGCCCAUCCUACUGCUUGCUCAACAUUUUGAACUCUAGAAACGCUGCAUCAAGGGCAUUGGACUUGAUCCUGUGGCUUAUGGGGAAAUGGUUAGAAUGCUUUCCUUUGAAGAUUGGCUAAAGUGUGAGGGUUUGAGAAAACAGAUUUGAAAAAGUCACUCCACUGACCCUAUGGAUGGGAUAGAGUUGAAAGAGAACACAAGUAGAAAUAAGUUCAGGAAGCUGUUAGGUCUGAAUAACAACAAAUAAUGAAGGCAAUAAUAAUACUGUAGCACAAACUGGCUCCUUUUUCAUCAAAUGAUUUCCUUAUUCCUCCUGGGCAUGUGCCUGGACUACAUUCCCCAGAAUCCCUUGCACUUAGGCAAAACUACGUGACUGAUUUAACUAAUGGGCGUAAGAGGAAAUGAUAUAAGUCACUUCCGGCCUGAGCCUUUAAAGACUUCUCAUGAGAGCCUUGCUCAAGCUUUCUCCAUUUGCCAGCUUCUUGGAGAGGACUAUUUGGAGGAGAGCUGCCCAGAAAACUCGAUCUUGAUUGAUGGUUGCAUAUCCAAGAAAUAAAACUUUACUG
rnacentral:lncRNA from 1 species